rnacentral:lncRNA from 1 species
AGACGUCGGCAGGCUGGAGGUAGAAGGUGGAGUUGAGCAGCUCUUCCAGCCUGCGCGGAACGUCGUUCUCCCGGUAGUACUCCAUCGCCUGCUGCUUCAGCUUCUGCAGCUCCCUAGUGGUCCCACAGCUGCGGCCGCCGCCUUCUUCCUCCAUGAUGAAAACAUCUGAGACUCAGGGCUAAGCACCUUGCCCAAGGCCACACAACAAGUAGGUGAUGGAGAGUGUUGGCGUGUACGGAUUCUGUGGGUGUAAAGCAAAGAACAAAAUGAAGUGUGAUUCAAGGUGGGAAAUAGCCGCUUCAGGUAGGAAAUUAACUAAUGUGUGUAAGUAUCAAACUGGCAUCUGAAAUAACUGCCCCAGAACCUCAUUCCUGUCGAGAGGGACUAGCUCCCCCAGGCUGCAGCAGCUACCACACAAAGAAGCAGUCCUAUGGCAAUGACAGGACAUCUGUGUCCAGGAUUUGGAUUUGACGAACUGGCAGUUCCUGCAGGGAUGACGGUACUCCCUAGUUGUGUCUGAAUUGGACGCACCAGCACUUGAGCACACACAAACGCACGUGAACAGACGGAACAUGUUAUGGGCCUGUUAGCCAAGGAAUGACAGAAUUAAUCCAUGGGCAUUUGCGGCCAGUGUUGUGUUAAACUAAAGGGAAAAAGUGAACUGGAAAAAGCAAUGUUUGUUUUAUGAAAAUCUCAGACCCAAUCCUUAGGUGACAGUUCUGGAAAUGAGGGGUGUCUAAAACAAAGGGCAUCUGAAACUUCGGUUUUUCAGCUUCCUUUCCUUGUCUCAUGACCUCUUUCCUACCCGCUGCCUCUGUUUUCUCUAAUAUGGAACAGUGAAAAUGGGGGCCAGCAAAACAGAUUGCUGAUGUCUGUUGAUUUUAUCAAAGGAAGGUUAGAUUGAGUAAGAUGGCAUAAAUAAGCACACAUAGGACAAUACCUGGCAUAUAUCAGGUGCUCAAUAGCAGUGAAUUCUCUCCCUGCUGUCAUGAAUUCUUGAAGGUUGGAGACCAUGCGCUGUUCUGCGUGCCAAGUUAUUUUUUCGGCCUGAUAGCAGGUGAGCUACUGAGUGAAGACAGAGACUGGACGCUAAUUCAGCUCUGAAUCUUCAGCACCUGGCAUGGAAGGUGCACAGGACAUAUUUGAAAAAGGAGAAUUAAUAGAAUUGACCAAUAGGCUGACCUCCUGAAUGAUGACUGAGCAAAUUGAUCUAGAGGUAUUCAAAACAGUUUAGUUGACUGUCCCAAACUUUCUCAGACCUCUUCUGCCACUGACUUCCCUGAAAAGACCCUUUGCAGCCAGGCACGGUGGCUCAUGCCUGUAAUCCCAGCAUGUUGGGAGGCUGAGGUGGGCGGAUCACGAGGUCAAGAGAUUGAGACCAUCCUGGCCAACGUGGUGAAACCUCGUCUCUACUAAAAGUACAAAAAUUAGCUGGGUGUGGUGGCACGUGCUUGUAGUCCCAGCUAGUUGGGAGGCUGAGGCAGGAGAAUCGCUUGAACUGGGGAGGCGGAGGUUGUAGUGAACCAAGAUCAUGUCACUGCACUCCAGCCUGGCAAUAGAGCGAGACUCUGUCUCAAAAAAAAACCAAAAAAACAAAAUCAACCCUUUUGCAUUUUUGUCCUAUCCUGUUUUCCGUCCCCUUGAGACCGUAUCACACGUUCUUUUUCCUCUUUGGUGACCUUCUUUGUCUUUCUUGCUGCUCCUGUACACUGUUGUUUACUCACACUGCUUUUAUUCUGAGCUCUCAUAUCUCUUCUAUUUCUGGUUCUGACGCCUAUCUUGUCUAUGCCUCGCACACUCACCUCCGACUCGGAGUCCUGACCUGCACAGCUGCGAUUGCGGUUUGCACACUUUGAGGGUGAACAGUUGUCAUGCAGCCCUUUUGAGUGCUAAAAAGUGACCACUUAAGAUUUUCCUCGUGGUUAGGAAGAUGAGUAUUUUAAAAUCAUUCUGGAGGAGAUUAGUGGUAAAGAAAACCUUCCUCAGCAACUAAAUCAUUGUGGAAAAAUAAGCCAAUUAGUCACUAAAACAAAAACCUUUUGAAGACUUGUGAACAGAGGAAAGAACAUGUGAAUUACAGGUUUUCUGUUUUGUGGCAUUGAUAGACUCCAGUAGUAUUCAUGAUCGCUGAUCAUCGCGAUGGGGACCCCGGAAAGGUGAAAUUAUGUUCAGUUGAAUAUUACCUAACCCUUCUCAAAGGACAAUUUGAUUUUGUUAUUCCAUUGUUAAGGGCUUUUUGGUGGCCCUUCGAGAUCUGGCUCUGGCUUCUCUUUGACCUUGAACCCUCACUCUGGUUGUGCUGAUCUGCUGACCGUCCUCCGGACACGGUAGGGUGCUCCAUGCCACAGGGCCUUUGAACAAACCUUUCUUAUCCUUGGAAUAAAUGCCUUUUCUUCCUUUUGUUCCCCUGCCAAACACAUGCUAUUAGGAAAGAUUCAACCCCAUGUCAUCACCUCCACAAAGCUUCUCCUGACACCUCCCAAGUUAGAUUGACCUUUUUCUCUUUUGUGUCCCCCACUGUCGAACUUGAUGUUCUUGUCAAUGACAACAAUAGUGGUAACAAUGAUGGUUUCCUUUCAUUGAGUGCCUUUUGGUUCCAGUAAGUGUAAGUGCUUUCACUUGUUAUAUCAUUUAAGCCCUGCCACCCUAUGAAGAGGCCACUAUUAUACAUACAGUCAUGCAUUGCUUUAUGACAGGGAUAUGUUCUGAGAAAUGCAUUAUUAGGCAAUUUCAUCAUUGUGUGAACAUCAUAGAAUGUACUUCCACAAACCUAGAUGAUAUAGCCUGCCUCACAACUAAGCUAUUAUAUGCAGGACAGUCUGCUGCUAGCUGCUUCUAAGCUACAGACCAUAUAUAUGUAUAUAUGUACAUAUCCUCUCCCUGCCCCUCUUGCUCUUUAUAUAUAUAUGCAUAUACCUAUAAUAUAUGCAUAUUUAGAUAGGCUUUUAUAUGUAUAUUGUAUAUAUGUACAUAUAUACAUUUAUUUUUUGAGACAGGGUCUUGCUCUGUCUCCCAUGCUGGAGUGCAGUGGUAUGAUCACGGCUCACUGCAGCCAUGACCUCCCAGGCUCGAGGGAUCCUCCCAGCUCAGCCUCCCAAGUAGGUGGGACUACAGGCAUGCACCACCACAUCUGGCUAAUUUUUGAAUUUUUUUUUGUAGAGAUGGGGUUUCACCAUGUUGCCCGGUUCUCAAACUCCUAGGCUCGAGUAAUCCACCCAACUUUGCUCCCAAAGUGGUGGGAUUAUAGGUGUGAGCCACCGCAACCAGCCCAUAUAUGCAUAUUUAAUAUACAUGUGUAGCAUAUACAUACACAUAUACACAUCUAUGCAUAUAAAUUAACAAUAUGUAUAUAUGUGCAUAAAUUCACAUAUAUUUUCUGUAUAAAGACAGCAAGAGAGGCAGGCGGAGAAAGAAUCAGUUGCAGUCUGGAGGAAUAUACGUGUGUUACAUGGUUUCCCUGCCUUUAAAUUCUCUGUUAAUCUGUAUUCCUUGUAAAGUAGAUGACAGCAUGUAUCUUGGCCUACAUGUUUCUAAAGACAAACCUCUAAGCUCUUGAAGUUCUGCCAUGGUGUAUCAUAGUACAUUGAAGUCAGAAAGCCCAUUAGAGGAGGAGGAUGCCUGGCUAGAAUAGUGUUCUUGAGUUUUUCCAUGUGUAUUGUCUCAGGUAGGAAGAUGACAAGUCCUACUUUGUUCUUGUGUGAUUCCCCAUCAUUCAGUCUGUGGAGGCUGAGCUUGUUAAUGGUGGUGAACACGAGUUUCGUUCUUUGCCAGGAGUGCCCACCAGUGCCCAUAACGCCCUCCCGGAAUGUGCCGGGCAGUAUGUUUAGGGUAAGACUGACUAACGACCCAACACUGACAACGGCCUUAGCACAAACCCAAAAGGCUCUGCUAGAGCUCAGAGGCAGCCACGAGAUUGGGAGAGCUGGAUGACGGUUUGCUAAGAGAAUUCAAGCUGUCAGUCCUCCUGUGUAUCCUUUGGAUUCUGUUAUGCUGUUGCUUGUAGAGGGAAAAAGUUCAUGUGUCAUUUAUAUACAAGUGCCCAUUUGACAUUGAGUGAGUCACAUUUAUUUUACCCUAUAUGAACACAAAAUCUCUGUUUUAAAAUCAGAUUCUAGAACUUUAAAAGGGUUCUUAUGUAUUGUUCUGAAGUAACUCAGUGGCUCUUGGUGAGCCCGCCCCACCUGGCCUGUUGGGUGACCCUCUUCCUGCCCCCUCACCGGUUCUGCUCCUUGUUCCUCUCUCUGCGCCUUGGCUCCCCUUCCCAGAGCCCUUCCUCUUGGUCUUGCCAAAUCCUGCCCAUCCUUUGAGAAACGCUUAUGCCCAUGGCUGUCUUACCCCUUCCUGCUUUGCUGUGGUAUCCAUUAGUCUGUUCUCGCGCUGCUAAUAAAGACAUACAAAAGACUGGGUAAUUUAUAAAGGAAAGAGGUUUAAUGGACUCACAUUUCCACAUGGCUGGGGAGGCCUCACAAUCAUGGUGGAAGAUGAAGGAAGAGCAAAGGGACUUUUUAUGUGGCGGCAGGAAAGAGAGCUUGUGCAGGGAAACUCCCAUUUAUAAAACUGUCAGAUCUCAUGAGACUUAUUCACUACCAUGGGAACAGUAUGGGGGAAACUGCCCCCAUGAUUCAAUUAUCUCCACCUGGCCCUGCCCUUGACACGUGGGGGUUAUUACAAUUCAAGGUGAGAUUUGGGUGGGGACACAGCCAAAAUAUAUCUGGCAUAUGCAAUCUGAUCACCCCUUCCAAACUUCUCUCUUAAAAAUGCAACAUUCUGACAGCAUGUGGAGGCUUGGAUGGAAACACGGUAAAAAUUACAACAUUGUUUCUCACACUUUUGCACCAAAGUGAUACAAAUCGCAGAGCUGAGGCAACUGGUGUUUCUGCGAGAAUGGAAUGGAAUGUGGUUGAAAUUUUGUGUUGUUUUUUAAAUAUUUGCAACUAUUUGUCAUUCUUCCAUAAAAAUCAGAAUUCAUGGUUGUGUACAUAAAAGUAAUUUUCUAAAGUGUGCCUUUGUGUGUCCUUGAUGCAGGACCAGCUUGGACUUGUGACCUGUGCAGUCACACAAGGCCCUGCACGUGGUUUAAUGCUCCGCUGUCACCAUCUUGAAAUUCUUAAUACCUUGAACGAGGGGUCCUGUAUUUUUGUUUCAUGCUGGGCCCAGCAAAUUACAUAGGUGGUCCUCCCUUUGGGGUUCUGCAAGGCAACUAACUGUGAAGCAUGCAUCGAGUUACAGUUUUAAAUCUUAACAUGACUUCAUCUGUUAUGGCCUACCCAGGACAGUGCAGGAAGCUGGGUGCCCUUUAAGAAAGGAGUCUGGGCUGAAGGAGAUGGAGAGGUAGGAAGGGUUGGGGUCCUGAAUGCCAGCUUUGCCAGGGCCAUGCCUCGCAGCCAUGUCCUUCCUGCCUGUCUACCACAGGCCAGGAGGUGAACAGUCAUUCUGUAAUUCACAUGCAGUAAAGCUUUUUGAGAGUUCUGUUUUUCACCUGGAACUGCCAAGUCAUUUGGUGAAGAUUUCCUGCUUGUUUGAAGUCUGCAGAGAAAAACCGCUAAUGAAACAUACCACAUUUGGAAAUGAACUUUUUAAAGUAUGUAUCCAUAAGUUCUUAUUUCAGCUCUUCCUUUUAUUCUAUAAAUGCCUGUCUUAUUUCAAAAGGGACUUUCAGGCAGAGGUAUAACAACAUAAUAAGAACAAUACAUUUGAGAAACAGAACUGAAAAGAAACUAAGGCAAAGUCAGGGGUAAAAUUGGAUCACAAAUGCAUACCACGAGGUCUUACUGAAUUUAAAAUUUACAAAUGCCUGUAAGCUUCCCAGUCGCAGAACAAAGGAACACAAUUGGUCAUAUCUAUAUGCAGCAGGAGAAGGGUUGGGCGGACAGCAGCUCGCAACUUGGCUUCCACCGUCUGCCGCAGAGAAUUUAGAGGCGUCUUGGGAACAUGAGUGGGGCUAUCCAGGAAUCUGUUUACCUGAGGGACUAAGUCCUGUCCCUUGGACAUCCCCAAAUAGUCCAGAAUGAAGCUUUAUUUGGAGAAGAGGGGCAGUUCGGAGCACUUCAUGACGUCUUGUCACCCAGUUUGUCCCACAUCUGCCUUCAAACUGAGUGGGACUUGAGCAAACAACACCCAGAGCUUCACUCUUCCCCACCACUGCGCUGGCCCUGCGGUGUUGUGAGUUGGUGGCUCCAGUGACAUGGCAGUGGCGGUGAGCCUGGCGCUGGCAGUGUUGGUGACACUCACGUGGUGGUGGUGGCACCAGCACUGGCGGUGUCUGUACCAGCAGGAGAGGUAGCACCGACACCUCCAAAGUGGAUGCAGCAGCAUCACAGUGGCUACAGGUGCCAAUCGGCUGUAGUAGGUGUGGAGGCAGUGGCUGGGAGUGGCUCGCAGCAAGGGCGAGCUCUCUGGACAACUCCAUGGGUGACAGAAGCCUGGACACGGGAGACCUUGGGGAGCCUUAUCCAAGGAGGUGCUUGAGGCUCCCCCUUGAGGAAGACCUCUCCAUUGGUGGGGGAAUUUGGAGCCAAAGAAAGCUCCUUAUGUUGUCAAAAUGUCCCUUUUUUAACCUUAGGAUAUUGUGACCCCUGAAGGUAUUAAUGAUAUUCUAGAGCAUUUGAAAGACAACAGCCAACUAGCUGGUUAAGCGCAGCUCAGUUUUUCCCCAGUGUGUGUGGGUGGCUGAGCACACAUUCAUUAAUUCAGUGAUUCAUUCAGCCAACAUCUGCGGAACCCCUGCUGGCUUCUGGAGUCAGAUUGCGGGGAUCUGAAUCGGGCUUGCCACUUACUAGUCUAUGACCUCGAGCAAAUGACGUGAUUCCUCUAAUACCCAGUUUCCCCAUCUGUAAUAUGAAAUGUGAAUACUAAGUAUCCGCCUCAUUGGGUUUUAGGAGAAUCAAAUGCAUGUCAAGUGUUUAACAUGGUGCCUGGCACAGAUUAAACAUCCAAGAAGUGUGAGUUAUGAUUAAAGGCUGUGAAAUGUACAAAGAGCCACAUAGUCCCCCAUUCAUUCAAGCAUUUUCUGUCCAUAUAAGGAAAUGCUACAUAGCCCAACUCCAGAAGGCUACACAUUAACUGGGGGUAUCACACAGUAGAGAAAUUAUGGGUGAUUUGAUUUGAUUAUUUAUCUGCUUUUUAGGAAUUUUCCAGUGUAUGUGAACUGUUUGUGAGAUCUUAAAACAGAAAGAAAAGCAACCCCAUUUGCCCUUCCCUUUGGUACUUCUGUGACACCCGUGUCGUCCAUCAGUUCCCAUGCAGGCAGGGGCGGUGACACUCACGCAUCUGUAGAUGGCUCAGACUCUCAGAAACUUCUUUCUUAGAGGAUCUGCUUGUAGUUUCUGGCUUUUACGUUUCAUUCAUUAUUCAUUCAUUCGUUCAUUCAAGAAAUACUUAUUAAGCACCUCUUGUCUGCCAGGCACAUUGAUAAGUUCUGGUGAGUGAAAGCCAAUGGCUCCCUUGAAGGAGCUGGUAAUUUAUCAGGGUUCUCAGACUGUCAUCCAAUAAUUAAAUAAAUAUGUCACGACAGAUGGAAGUGAGAUGAAGGCAAGGAACUUGGUGCUGUGAAGGUGGACAGCAGAGAUGAAGGUGGAGGGAGGCGGGGGAGGCUUCCCUGGGAGGUGACGGGAAAGCUGAGCUGUGAAGGUGCAUAGGAGUUAUUGGGUGUGUGUGGGGGUGGGGCAUGUGCGGUCCAGACAGAGGAGCAGAGUCGACUUCGGGGCCACACAGAGAAUGGAAUUCCCUUUCCAUGUGACAGCCCUUCACACAUCUGUAGGUGGCUUCUCCCCGGAAGCCUUUCUGUUGUAUUCCUGCCUUCUUCAGCUUUUCUGCCUAGGAUGUGGUUUCACAGCCUGUUUUCAUUCUGAGAUCCAGUUUGUUCGUAUCCUUCUUUUUCGAUAACAAUUUUAUUGAGCUAUAAUCCACAUGCAGUACAAUUCACUCAAAGUGUAUAAUUCAAUGAUUUUUAAUAUAUCACAGAAUUGUGCAACCAUCACCAUGAUCAAUUUUAGAACAUUUUCAUCACCCCAAAAAGAAACCCUUAUACCCAUUAGCAGCAGCCACUCCUCGUUUCCCCCACCAAUCCCAGCCCUGGGAAACCAUUAGUUGCUUUUGGUCACUAUAGAUACACCUGUUCUGGGCAUUUUUUAUAAAUGGAAUCAUACAGGAUGCAUUCUUUUGUUUAACUGCUUCUUUCGUUUAGCAUAAUGUUUUUAAGGUUCAUCCAUGUUGUAGCAUGUAUCAGUACUUUGUUUGUUUGUUUGUUUUUGAGACAGAGUCUCACUCUGU